rnacentral:tRNA from 1 species
GGGCUGUGGCUCAGUGGUAGAGCGCCUGCCUAGCAGUAUGAGGCACUGGGUUCGAUCCCCCCGUACCA